GGGCCGGGCGGAGGCUACCAUGCAAGUCGAGCGGUAACAGAUCCAGCUUGCUGGAUGCUGACGAGCGGCGGACGGGUGAGUAAUGCAUAGGAAUCUGCCCGAUAGUGGGGGAUAACCUGGGGAAACCCAGGCUAAUACCGCAUACGUCCUACGGGAGAAAGGGGGCUUCGGCUCCCGCUAUCGGAUGAGCCUAUGUCGGAUUAGCUAGUUGGUGAGGUAACGGCUCACCAAGGCCACGAUCCGUAGCUGGUCUGAGAGGAUGAUCAGCCACAUCGGGACUGAGACACGGCCCGAACUCCUACGGGAGGCAGCAGUGGGGAAUAUUGGACAAUGGGGGGAACCCUGAUCCAGCCAUGCCGCGUGUGUGAAGAAGGCCCUCGGGUUGUAAAGCACUUUCAGCGAGGAAGAACGCCUAGCGGUUAAUACCCGCUAGGAAAGACAUCACUCGCAGAAGAAGCACCGGCUAACUCCGUGCCAGCAGCCGCGGUAAUACGGAGGGUGCAAGCGUUAAUCGGAAUUACUGGGCGUAAAGCGCGCGUAGGUGGCUUGAUAAGCCGGUUGUGAAAGCCCCGGGCUCAACCUGGGAACGGCAUCCGGAACUGUCAAGCUAGAGUGCAGGAGAGGAAGGUAGAAUUCCCGGUGUAGCGGUGAAAUGCGUAGAGAUCGGGAGGAAUACCAGUGGCGAAGGCGGCCUUCUGGACUGACACUGACACUGAGGUGCGAAAGCGUGGGUAGCAAACAGGAUUAGAUACCUCGGGUUAGUCA
rnacentral:rRNA from 1 species